rnacentral:rRNA from 1 species
CUGAGUACGGCGGAACACGUGAAAUUCCGUCGGAAUCCGGGAGGACCAUCUCCCAAGGCUAAAUACUCCCUAGUGACCGAUAGUGAACCAGUACCGUGAGGGAAAGGUGAAAAGCACCCCGGAAGGGGAGUGAAACAGUUCCUGAAACCGUGUGCCUACAAGUAGUUAGAGCCCGUUAAUGGGUGAUAGCGUGCCUUUUGUAGAAUGAACCGGCGAGUUACGAUUUGUUGCAAGGUUAAGCGGAAAAAGCGGAGCCGUAGCGAAAGCGAGUCUGAAUAGGGCGCAUAAGUAACAGGUCGUAGACCCGAAACCAGGUGAUCUACCCAUGUCCAGGAUGAAGGUAAGGUAAUACUUACUGGAGGUCCGAACCCACGCACGUUGAAAAGUGCGGGGAUGAGGUGUGGGUAGCGGAGAAAUUCCAAUCGAACUUGGAGAUAGCUGGUUCUCUCCGAAAUAGCUUUAGGGCUAGCCUCGAGGUAAAGAGUCAUGGAGGUAGAGCACUGUUUGGACUAGGGGCCCUUCUCGGGUUACCGAAUUCAGAUAAACUCCGAAUGCCAUGUACUUAUACUCGGGAGUCAGACUGCGAGUGAUAAGAUCCGUAGUCGAAAGGGAAACAGCCCAGACCACCAGUUAAGGUCCCCAAAUAUAUGUUAAGUGGAAAAGGAUGUGGGGUUGCUUAGACAACCAGGAUGUUGGCUUAGAAGCAGCCACCAUUGAAAGAGUGCGUAAUAGCUCACUGGUCGAGUGACCCCGCGCCGAAAAUGUACCGGGGCUAAACAUAUUACCGAAACUGUGGAUGAACCUCUUUAGAGGUUCGUGGUAGGAGAGCGUUCUAAGGGCGGUGAAGUCAGACCGGAAGGACUGGUGGAGCGCUUAGAAGUGAGAAUGCCGGUAUGAGUAGCGAAAGAAGGGUGAGAAUCCCUUCCACCGAAUAUCUAAGGUUUCCUGAGGAAGGCUCGUCCGCUCAGGGUUAGUCGGGACCUAAGCCGAGGCCGAUAGGCGUAGGCGAUGGACAACAGGUAGAGAUUCCUGUACCAGUGCUAAUUGUUUAACCGAUGGGGUGACACAGAAGGAUAGGGAAUCGCACGAAUGGAAAUGUGCGUCCAAGCAGUGAGUGUGAGAAGUAGGCAAAUCCGCUUCUCGCGAAGCAUGAGCUGUGAUGGGGAAGGAAAUUAAGUACGGAAGUUCCUGAUUUCACGCUGUCAAGAAAAGCCUCUAGGAAGAGUAGUACUGCCCGUACCGCAAACCGACACAGGUAGAUGAGGAGAGAAUCCUAAGGUGAGCGAGAGAACUCUCGUUAAGGAACUCGGCAAAAUGACCCCGUAACUUCGGGAGAAGGGGUGCUCUAUUAGGGUGCAAGCCCGAGAGAGCCGCAGUGAAUAGGCCCAGGCGACUGUUUAGCAAAAACACAGGUCUCUGCAAAACCGUAAGGUGACGUAUAGGGGCUGACGCCUGCCCGGUGCUGGAAGGUUAAGAGGAGUGCUUAGCUUCGGCGAAGGUACGAAUUGAAGCCCCAGUAAACGGCGGCCGUAACUAUAACGGUCCUAAGGUAGCGAAAUUCCUUGUCGGGUAAGUUCCGACCCGCACGAAAGGCGCAACGAUCUGGGCACUGUCUCAACGAGAGACUCGGUGAAAUUAUAGUACCUGUGAAGAUGCAGGUUACCCGCGACAGGACGGAAAGACCCCGUGGAGCUUUACUGCAACCUGAUAUGGAAUGUUUGUACCGCUUGUACAGGAUAGGUAGGAGCCGAAGAGACGUGUGCGCUAGCAUACGAGGAGGCAAUGGUGGGAUACUACCCUGGCUGUAUGACCAUUCUAACCCGCCACGCUUAGCGCGUGGGGAGACAGUGUCAGGUGGGCAGUUUGACUGGGGCGGUCGCCUCCUAAAGAGUAACGGAGGCGCCCAAAGGUUCCCUCAGAAUGGAUGGAAAUCAUUCGCAGAGUGUAAAGGCACAAGGGAGCUUGACUGCGAGACUGACAAGUCGAGCAGGGACGAAAGUCGGGCUUAGUGAUCCGGUGGUUCCGCAUGGAAGGGCCAUCGCUCAACGGAUAAAAGCUACCCCGGGGAUAACAGGCUUAUCUCCCCCAAGAGUCCACAUCGACGGGGAGGUUUGGCACCUCGAUGUCGGCUCGUCGCAUCCUGGGGCUGUAGUCGGUCCCAAGGGUUGGGCUGUUCGCCCAUUAAAGCGGCACGCGAGCUGGGUUCAGAACGUCGUGAGACAGUUCGGUCCCUAUCCGUC